CAGUAGCCGCGGUAAUACGAAGGGUGCAAGCGUUAAUCGGAAUUACUGGGCGUAAAGCGUGCGUAGGCGGUGAAUUAAGUCUGCUGUGAAAUCCCCGGGCUCAACCUGGGAAUGGCAGUGGAUACUGGCUCGCUAGAGUGUGUCAGAGGAUGGUGGAAUUCCCGGUGUAGCGGUGAAAUGCGUAGAGAUCGGGAGGAACAUCAGUGGCGAAGGCGGCCAUCUGGGACAACACUGACGCUGAGGCACGAAAGCGUGGGGAGCAAACAGGAUUAGAUACCCCCGUAGUCCCUGUCUCUUAUAA
rnacentral:rRNA from 1 species